rnacentral:rRNA from 1 species
CAGUCGAACGGUGAUAGCAAUAUCAUAGUGGCGCACGGGUGCGUAACACGUAUGCAACCUACCUAUUAUUGGGGGAUAGCCUUUGGAAACGGAGAUUAAUACCGCAUAAUACGAUUGACUGGCAUCGGUUGAUUGUUAAAGCUUCGGCGAUAAUAGAUGGGCAUGCGUCCAAUUAGUUAGUUGGUUAGGUAACGGCUGACCAAGACGAUGAUUGGUAGGGGAUCUGAGAGGAUAAUCCCCCACACUGGCACUGAGAUACGGGCCAGACUCCUACGGGAGGCAGCAGUAGGGAAUAUUGGGCAAUGGGCGGAAGCCUGACCCAGCCAUGCCGCGUGCAGGAAGAAGGCGUUAUGCGUUGUAAACUGCUUUUUUAUAGGAAGAAGGAUCCCUUGCGAGGGAAGGUGACGGUACUAUAUGAAUAAGCACCGGCUAACUCCGUGCCAGCAGCCGCGGUAAUACGGAGGGUGCAAGCGUUGUCCGGAUUUAUUGGGUUUAAAGGGUGCGUAGGCGGUUUAUUAAGUCAGUGGUGAAAGACGGUCGCUCAACGAUUGCAGUGCCAUUGAUACUGGUAGACUUGAGUGUGAUUGAGGUAGCUGGAAUGGAUAGUGUAGCGGUGAAAUGCAUAGAUAUUAUCCAGAACACCAAUUGCGAAGGCAGGUUACUAAGUCACAACUGACGCUGAUGCACGAAAGUGUGGGUAUCAAACAGGAU